GACGAACGCUGGCGGCGUGCCUAAUACAUGCAAGUCGAGCGAAGUUUUUCUGGUGCUUGCACCGGAAAAACUUAGCGGCGAACGGGUGAGUAACACGUAAAGAACCUGCCUUAUAGACUGGGACAACUAUUGGAAACGAUAGCUAAUACCGGAUAACAGCAUUAACUGCAUGGUUGAUGUUUGAAAGUUGGUUUUGCUAACACUAUGAGAUGGCUUUGCGGUGCAUUAGCUAGUUGGUGGGGUAAGGGCCUACCAAGGCGACGAUGCAUAGCCGACCUGAGAGGGUGAUCGGCCACACUGGGACUGAGACACGGCCCAGACUCCUACGGGAGGCAGCAGUAGGGAAUCUUCCGCAAUGGGCGAAAGCCUGACGGAGCAACGCCGCGUGAGUGAAGAAGGAUUUCGGUUCGUAAAGCUCUGUUGUUAGGGAAGAAUGAUUGUGUAGUAACUAUACACAGUAGAGACGGUACCUAACCAGAAAGCCACGGCUAACUACGUG
rnacentral:rRNA from 1 species